rnacentral:rRNA from 1 species
GACGAACGCUGGCGGCGUGCCUAACACAUGCAAGUCGUACGGAGUUCACUUGGAAGCUUGCUUCCGAGUGAACUUAGUGGCGGACGGGUGAGUAACGCGUGAGCAACCUGCCUCACAGAGGGGGAUAACACACGGAAACGUGUGCUAAUACCGCAUAAUCCGAUGAAGCGGCAUCGCUUUAUCGGCAAAGGAGCAAUCCGCUGUGAGAUGGGCUCGCGUCCGAUUAGAUAGUUGGUGAGGUAACGGCUCACCAAGUCUACGAUCGGUAGCCGGACUGAGAGGUUGGACGGCCACAUUGGGACUGAGACACGGCCCAAACUCCUACGGGAGGCAGCAGUGAGGGAUAUUGCACAAUGGGCGAAAGCCUGAUGCAGCGACGCCGCGUGAGGGAUGACGGUCUUCGGAUUGUAAACCUCUGUCCUUGGUGAAGAAGAAAGUGACGGUAGCCAAGGAGGAAGCCACGGCUAACUACGUGCCAGC